rnacentral:lncRNA from 1 species
CAUCCCCAUGCCACCUUCCCUUCCUCCUCUCUUUCCAACACCCAAGGGUUGGGCGUCCCAUCUUUUCACAUACCCAAGUUGAGGGUGAUCUCUUCUACAGUAAGAAACAAGGAGAAAGGCUGCAGUUCAAGUGUUGAGAUCGCAGUCAAAGAUCAAGAGUUGAUCAAAAAUCCAAAAGAUUGAGAUUCAUCUUGGAGAAGAUGGAUCUAUAGCGUGAAGAAAGGUUAAAGAUUGAUUCUGGUGGAUACCUAUAGAGGUCAAAUACGUAUGUGGCUCAGGUACCUUCAGAUCUAGGAUAAUUGGUUGCGAUGUAUUUCAACCCGCACAAG